CUUGGGACACUUGGGGCGUUUAGGACAUCUUGGAGCAGAGCAUCUCCAUCUUGGACAACAGCAUAACCAUGUGCAACAACUGCAAUUGCUGCAUUCUGGGCAUGCAUCUGCAACAAGAGCAAUCUGGGCGCGAAGGAAAUCGACAUUUGCAGCAGUUACUGCAAGUGCAGCAGUUACUGCAGCUUGAGAUGUUUUUACAGCAAUUGGAUCUAGGACAGGCG
rnacentral:misc_RNA from 1 species